AUUGAACGCUGGCGGCAUGCCUUACACAUGCAAGUCGAACGGCAGCAUAGGAGCUUGCUCCUGAUGGCGAGUGGCGAACGGGUGAGUAAUAUAUCGGAACGUGCCCUAGAGUGGGGGAUAACUAGUCGAAAGACUAGCUAAUACCGCAUACGAUCUACGGAUGAAAGUGGGGGAUCGCAAGACCUCAUGCCCCUGGAGCGGCCGAUAUCUGAUUAGCUAGUUGGUGGGGUAAAAGCCGACCAAGGCGACGAGCAGUAGCUGGACUGAGAGGACGACCAGCCACACUGGGACUGGGACACGGCCCAGACUCCUACGGGAGGCAGCAGUGGGGAAUUUUGGACAAUGGGGGCAACCCUGAUUCAGCAAUGCCGCGUGAGUGAAGAAGGCCUUCGGGUUGUAAAGCUCUUUUGUCAGGGAAGAAACGGUAGUAGCUAAUAUCUACUACUAAUGACGGUACCUGAAGAAUAAGCACCGGCUAACUACGUGCCAGCCGCCGCAGUAA
rnacentral:rRNA from 1 species